rnacentral:rRNA from 1 species
CCUACGGGUGGCAGCAGUGGGGGAUAUUGCACAAUGGGGGAAACCCUGAUGCAGCGACGCCGCGUGUGGGAAGACGGUCCUCUGGAUUGUAAACCACUGUCCCCAGGGACGAAGAUGACGGUACCUGGGGAGGAAGCUCCGGCUAACUACGUGCCAGCAGCCGCGGUAAUACGUAGGGAGCAAGCGUUGUCCGGAAUUACUGGGUGUAAAGGGAGCGUAGGCGGGAUGGCAAGUUGGGUGUUAAAUCUACCGGCUCAACUGGUAGUCGCACUCAAAACUGCUAUUCUUGAGGGAAGUAGAGGCAGGCGGAAUUCCUAGUGUAGCGGUGAAAUGCGUAGAUAGCAGGAGGAACACCGGUGGCGAAGGCGGCCUGCUGGACUGCAACUGACGUUGAGGCCCGAAAGCGUGGGGAGCAAACAGGAUUAGAUACCCGAGUAGUC